UGAAAGAUAAGCUAAACUUAAGCUUACGGGUUCAUACCCCGCCUAUGAAAUUAUUAUUCUCCUUCAA
rnacentral:tRNA from 1 species